rnacentral:lncRNA from 1 species
CGCGAAGUACAAACCAAUUAGCAAUCACAUGUGCCAUAAAAUAAAAAUUAAACUAUAAAAAUCAAAUUAGUUUAAUGUCACAAACUUUAGUUAGAUCAUGGAAGCAUUAACUCUAGAGUUUCCAAGAUACAUGGUAGUAGAGAUAGCUUGACCAGCUCAACCCAAAAUAGCAAGUUAAAUUUGAGUCAGGUAUAUAGUAUGGUCUUUUAGAUCUUUUUU